rnacentral:lncRNA from 1 species
UUAACAUAUUUAAUAUGGAUGGCAAUAUCUUAUCAAUUUUAAUGGUUACAUUGCAAUUUUCAUUUAAAAUUAUUCUUAUAAAUGUAUUUCCAGCUAUAGAUAACAGUUCGUAACAUAUGUUUAAAAAAAACAAAGUAUAUCUUUAACAAAAAAAGGCCAUAUAUUCAUAUCUAAAUUUCAUCAGCUGCCAAUAUAGAAUGUUAAAACAGCUAGGCGCGUCUGUGCUCAACCUUGCUUAAGUGAUUUACAACAUUUGAUCUUGGCCAACAACAAAAUGAAUGCAUAGUAUGAAAAUUAGAAAAAUCAUAUCGAUUCCUCUUACCAAAUGAACUGUGGAAAAAAGAAGGUACUAUUUAGCAUUAGUAUUGCAUCAGAUGAAAUAUUUCUUCAAAGGUUGUCAAUGAAAGCAAACCAAUCAGCUCACUGUAUUAUCAGGUUUUUUGUCUAGAUAAAAAGCUUUAAAAAAGAUAGCAAUGUUAUAGUAUCAGUACCCAUGAAGCUGUUCUAACAAAGAGGGGACGAAAGAUACCAGAGGGACAGUCAACCUCAUAGAUAAAAAAAAUAAACUGACAACGCCAUGGAUAAAAAAGAAAAGACUAACAGAAGAACAAAAGUUAACAAGAAACAACAUAGAAAACUAAAGACUAAGCAGCACAAACCCCACAAAAAAACUGGGGUACAAAGUUUCCAUGGGUUUUUUACUAAAGGAAUUCUAGUUUAUUUUUUUUAUAAAAUCCUGCAUUGAAACAGUUGCAGAGAAAUAAACUACACAGCUACUUUUGCAUAGGUACCAUUUCUGUACUAAAAAUCUGUAGUACUGGAAAUCUAUUUUUAAUAUUCAGU